CUUUAACAACUAACGAUCUCUUACAAUGAAAGUAGUAUUUGGGAAUGUGACUUUUUCUUUUCUUUUAAAUGGAAAGGCAGUUUGAUAGCUUAGCUAUUAAUGCCCAUAGCCAGAUUCUCUGCAGCUCUGAUGUGAGUAAGAACUUACACCUCCUCCCUAAUUUUUAUCUGAAUGCAGGCUUGUAGGUAACAGUUCUUAAUUUGAUGAACAGAGUAGAGCUGAAAUAAGGUGUUACUAUCAACAAUGAUGCAGACAACUUAGAUUCAUUGUAUAUUACUUUCCACUGUAGUCUUACAGCACUUUGGGUUUUUAGAGUGAACAGAGACACUUCUUUGACCAUUGUUUUUGUCUUCUUCUCUUGUCUAAAUAAACAUAUCCAACAACUAACAUGUGCGUUCAACAGAAACACAAGAAAAAUACUUCCAUUACAGAAGAUUUUGCAAAAGAAUUUAAGUUCCAUUUCAUGAAAGCAAGUAGAGGAGAAAGGGGGGUGAUGGUUAAAAUUACAUUAGACAAGUUGUCUUUCACUUCCUUUCAUUUAAGCUCAAGUGUGUAUUCUAGUAGGAGCAGCAGAAGCAAAACGAGAGACAGAGGGAAGGAAAUGUUAACAUAAAGCAAGAUAAGAAAGGAGAGUGAAGCAUUAAGCAGGGAUGACUGGGCAAAAUAUGGUUACAUUCUGGAGGCCUGGCUUCAGGCAGAUAUCAGGAACAGGGAGCAGCAGGAAGAGAUAAAUCAUCCCUCUCCUCUUCCCAGGAGAUAAAGAUGUUUAUAAACAGAAUAAAAGGAUGAGAGUCCAGGAAGAUAGGAGGUUAGGAAGAGGCAAAUGUCAUAAGAGCAAAAAAAGAAGUGUGAUGGAUGUAAAGUAUUCUGCAUUUUUAUGUUUUCUGCAAUUGUCUCAACUCCUUACUGUGCAGUUUCUUAACAGACCAAAGGGUUAAGGAUCCUGAUCUAGUUCAGGCAGGACGAAUACUAGCUAUUUACACCUCUUAGUUAACUAGGAGCAGACACGAAAAGAGGAUACUGAGUUUGGAGACAAAGGAGAUGUUAGUAUUAUGGUACCAAAUCUCUCAUUCUCACCUGAAAAAAAAGAGAGAAGCAGUAUUUGUGGGAGGAAAGAAGGGAAAAAAAGGACUAUGGGUGGGUUGGCCAGUGGAGACCAGGAAUCCAGAAUGACACCUCAGUGAGUCGCAGCCCAUCAUGAGGCCGAACUUGGCAGUAUGAUGAACCUCUGCUUGUCGUAGCUAAGAAUUAGCUUGUGUCCUCAGAUAUAUGAGUGGCUGCUUACAAAGCAGAGUAUCUUUCAAGCUACUCUUGUAUGUACAAGUAGAACAGAAUGGGAAAGAAAAUGGAAGAAAUGACAGAAAUCAGACAGAAGAGAGGAGCUAGGGAAUACGAAGAAUAAUGAAAAAUAGACCAGUAUUAAGGAUAAGCAUACCCAUAGAUAGGGAACAUGUAUUAGUAUGUCAGAUCAAAUUAAAGAGGAAACUUUUCCUCCUAUAUUCUCGGAAGAGUAAGGAUUUUUAUCAUCACAAAGUAAACACUCUGCAUGUGGCACUUCAGUUUUGAACAAAUCACAUAUUACCAAUGGAAAUACAGGAACAUUUGUGUCUUUUGCAUGUGUAUCUGUUAAAGAAAAUGUUUACAGCUCAUGUAACAUUAACCUUCUCAAUAUUUUUAGCAAUGUCCAGCUCUGGUCAGGCAGAAAUAGAUGGUAUUUUCUAAAAUAAUAAACUAUUUACCAGUGAUGACAACUCUCUGUUCACCUUGAUUAAUUUCAAGGGGGUGACCAUAAGGUAAGGAUCCGUGGUGGGCUAGGGAAAACAUGACUCCUUAGAUUAAUAGUGACUGCAGGGCUAUAUAAAUAUUUAAUAUACUGAAUGAAACACUUCAGCAGAACACACACAAAACAUCACCUCUGCAAAUAUUUCAUGGGUCACUUCCUCUUCUACUUGUUUUCUAUUCCUGUGGCCUAUGAGAAGCUUACUGCAAAAAAUUAAAAUGAUUUGGUAGCUAAAGAUAGGUAUCAAACUAAAAGGCAGCUGAACAACUAGAGAUUCUUCUAAGGAAGCCAAGAGUGGCUGUUGUUUCUUCUGGUCUGAUAUAACGAGGCAGGAACCACCACGCUCCCUCCCACCCUCGCAUUUCCGAGGUGAGAUUCCCAUGCCAAAGGCUGUCAGGAACAGCACAGGACCUUUAGCUAUAUUUAAAAGGAAGUUAUAAUUUCAAAAUCAGAGGCUAUUGCUGCUCUGCCACCUCUCAGCUGAACGUCACCCAGCCACCCCGCUAUCUGCGUUUCACAGUGGACUGAAGACCUACGGUGGCCAGCCCAGAACCUCAAGGCUGCAGGUUUCAGGGCUGACUAACUAAAGUCAGCUUCAAGGAACAUUUGCAGGUGCAAGCAGAAUGCUUGGCAAAGUCCUGAAACUGAGGACAUGAGCUCACAGAGAAGAGCAGCGCUGGGAACUCCUGUCUGCCCCCCAGGUCUUCCAAGGCAGAUUUUCAUUGUCUUCAUCACAGUGUCACGAAGAAGAGCCAGAAGCUCCCAAAGCAGUUAAUGCCAGCACUGAUGGGUCACUUCUGGGACCGGUCCUAAACAAGAGCUCUCUCCUGAGACACACAUACAGUCCCAGCUACGUAGUGUACAGCUACACUGUGAGUGAGCAAAGAGGGAGAAUGAGAAGUUUCUCUCUGGGACAUGGAAAUUUCCUGGCUCUGCAAGAAGAGGAGAGGACUUCCUCAUGAAUCGCUGCUUUGGUAAAAACCUAGCCUAGUACAAGAACUGUCCUUAAGAUGGGAAUCACCCCACCUAAGGCUGACAAUCCCUAAAUCUGUGCAGGAUGGCAAGGCUUCUUUUAUAGUUGGUGGAGACAAACGGGUGUCUCUACCAUGCUGCUCCUCCCAUCCUAGAGUACACACAUGUCUAAAAUAGAUCAUGUGAGUCACACGCUACAAAUGCCUGUUUCUUUCCUUUGCUUAAAAAGGAAUCUAGACAACAGAUGCCUAAUUGUUGAUGUCCAAUGUUCAGUCACAUGAAACCCAGUCUGGCUGGAAGGAUAAGAUUUGUUCAGCUGGGCCAGUUAAACAUGAACGUCUCUAAAACAGGAGAUAGCAAACAAUGGUUAGGCAAGAAUGAACUGGAUUAAUGAUCACCAAAUGACUAGAGGCAUAAGACUGUCUGAAUAUGAAUUAUCUCCUUUUCCAUCCUCUUCCUCCUCUCCUUCAUGAAAGAUGAAUGUUGACCACGCAGAUAAAAAGGACACACCCCAAAUCUUGACUGUUUUCUGCAAGUACCCAUAAUUUGGGGAAAAUGAGAUGUCUGAGCUUGAAUACAGCCAGUGUCAGAGGGCAUAGAGAUGAAAAAAACCUUUAAACUAAUAUUUACGCUAAGCAAAGUUAGGAAUGAAUGCAAGAAGUCCACAAAAAAUGAGAAGCACUGCCAGCGUGAAGGAGGAAGAACACCAUGUGAAGGGAAAAUGGACUGGAAUAGUAAAAGUGGGAUGAAAUGUAAUAGUACAAAGUAUAGUAUCCUGCAGUCAAAAUGGGAUUAAUUUCAUUCAAUCCAUCCAAAACCUUUGCACCUUCACAGCUGUGGAGUCUCCUUGUAUAAUCACUAGAAAGAUGUUAACAAGUCUGCUGGUAAUUUUAUAUUAUCUAGUUUAGACACAUCUAAAUGGAAUGAAUGGAGAUUCUUUGAAGAUUAUUCCUUCUUUCUAUAGUCAUUCAGGGAGAACGUUUAGGUGCCUAACUUUUAAAGUUAUACGUUUGAUGAGGAAAAUCUCCCUAAGGAGUAUUACAAAUUUUCAUUGUAGUAGCUCAUCAGCCAGAAAUCAGACAGGAGGAAAACAUGUAUUUUUUGCAUGACCCAGGACUCUGUAAAACACAAAUAACUUCUUCAGACAUAGUACACAAGGUAAAUUAAAUUGAAAUAGCAAAAAGUUAAUACAAGUGUAAAAAACACUAGUGAGAUCUCAUCUGAGUAAAUAUCUGGCUGUCCACAUUCUGCAAGAGUCUGUCAAAACACAGACAGCCUGUCUUGCAAAAAAUCACUGCAUGAGCAAGAAUCGUGUGCAUAGUUAAAUACAUCAUAUCAUUAGACCUUCCCUGCAAGGGAGAAGGAAAAUUUAAUCUUAAAAAAGCACAAGAGCAACAGGCUAUAAACUCACCACAAACAGAUUUAGGCUGGAAACUUUCUUAACUAUCAGAAGAGUGAGGUUGUGGGACAGCCUUCCAGAGGAGCUACUGAAGGCUAGAAACCUGAAGAGUUUCAAAAGUGAGCUGAACCAUUUUAUGAAAUAGGUUAUAUGACGCAGGGCCUGAAAAGAAGAGUUUGUACUUGGUGCGCUGGGAGGAUCUUGCUAGCUUUAUGUUCACUUGAAAGAAGACUCAAGAAACUAAAUUCCUAACUGUAAUUUGGAAAUGGCCUGAAAUGCUCUGGAAAAUCUUUAUUUUAAACUUUAAUCCCCCCCGCCAACCAUCUCCCAAGCUCUUAAAAUAUUAUGCCAGUGUACCUUAGUAUAUUUAUACAGGUUUUCAGAGGGAAAUAACAGAUUUGUCAAUUCUGAUGACAGUAACAGAACAAAUGUCUGAAUCCAAAGCUAAUGUUUUUCUUUAUGGGGGCAUGCUAAUCUAAUCAUAUCAAACAUUUGCUUUUUGGUUAUAUGUUUUUGGUGGGUUUUUUUUAGAAGGAAACAAAGAGAGUGAUCUGAAAUAUAUAGAUGAGACUUCCCUUGAAAUAUGUUCAAAUGCACAAUUUCUUUACAAUUUUUUUUUUCAUUUGGACAGAUAAAGCACUUUAACUUUUUCUUAAAGAGCUUUUGUUCACUUUUUUUUUUUCCCUUGAGCUUUUUUGGUAUAUACACGUUGUUAAGCAAAUUAAAUAAUUAGUGAAAUCAUAUAUAUCAUAAUUAAAAUAAAUAUUAUAACUUAAAUUUGUUUCAGUAACUAUCUUUUUGCAAUUUCAUAUGAAAUAGGUUUAAAAUUCAUUAUAAGAUAAAUCUACUUAAAUUCUGAUGUCUUUAUCUAAAUUUGAAAGAGAGCUUCAAGAGUUUCAGCAAAAAAUUGAAUUUACAAAGCCUACAACAUAGCCACCAGAUGGUUUUGUAGCACGUGCAGUUUAAAUCAGCUCAGUGUAAGUAAACAGUCAACCACUGUGAAUAAUCAGAUUUUAUUUCUUCCCCUAGGACUUCAAAUCUCACUCUGUCAUAUGCCAGUCAUAAGUGCAGCAGCAUCAAAUAGCUAUGGACUGAAUCCACCUUUCUCUUUUAAAUACAUCUUCUUGCAGUAUAGAUCUUGGGUAGUGCAUGCUGAAACAAGCACUUUAUGACAAAAAUAUUGGAAUUGUAAAAUAAAUGUAUAAUAAAAAAGAAAAUUGUUAGUCUUCAAUUCCCGACCUUGCAUUACAUUACCUCAUCCAAGAAAAAGGAGGUAGUUAAUGAAAAAAAUAGAAAUAAUAUAUUACACUUGAUGUAUCCCCUUUUCUUUCAUACAUCUUUGAAAAGUCCUUUGGAGCAAACAUACAUUAUCUUGAUUUUACAGAGAAAGGGAAAAAAUUAAAAGUUUAAGUGGCUUACCCCAAAUCACACAACAAGCCUUCUGCAAAACGAAAAAUACAGGCUGACUGAAUUUUAGCUGAAGCUCAUAUGGUCCCUCCCCCACUGGAUUUCCUAGAGCUUGUUAGCAAAUGAGCUUCCAUAAAAGGUACUAAACCAGAUUUCUUUCUUUCAUCUGGUUACCAAUUCUUAUGAAGCUUUUUAGGAAUUUAAUGAUAUUUGAACUUGUAAAACUCCUUUGAAAUUUCCCAAAGGUGUUCAAUUUACCAUGUGACACCCACACAAGCUACCCUUUUGUGUUCACACAGACUCCAUGUAUGUUUCCUCAGAAAGUCAAGCUAAACAUUUAAAGAUAGGAGAACAGACCUCAAAUAGUGUCAUCCAGGAUUGCUUUGUCAAUCUCAAAAGGUGCCAAGAUAAGGAUCAGUAUAAUAGUGAAAUUGUGACCUAAAGCCAAAAUUGUAUAGAAAUGUGACAUCUGCAUAUGAUGAUAAAAACAAGUAAACACUGCAAAGCAGGGCAGAACAGCAGGCGGAGGUUCCCUCAAAAAUUGGUGUGUAGGAAGAAUGCACUUUCAGAGAUCAAUAAACAUUAAUUUAAUGUUUAGUAACUUGACUGUCUUUCCACACUACACAUUGUCUUGCCAGCUAUAUAUAAAUAAAAAAAUAUAUCAUGUGAACAUGGUAAUGAUUAAAGAGGUAAUGACCAAUUUUAGCAUGAACUUGCUCUGUUGCUUUACAGGAAGCUACAGUGUCCUUUUUUCACGUUGAAGACAUAAGGAUAUUACGUUAGGGGCAAUCUUAUCCAAAACAGACAUACAAAUCUAUUUAGCUGGUCAGUCUUCACUACUGGGUCUCUAUUUGUAACUAGAUAUAUUAGCUAUUGAAUACGUAUAUCUUGCAUAGAUAAGUUAUUUUAAAAUAAACCCCCUGUGAAACUGUACCCGAACUAACGGUGUAAGUUGAAGCCUAGUUGUAACAGGCCACGUGAAUAUGGUUUUAUGGUUAAUUUUUGAAGCAAAGCUGUACACUUUCUAGGAGAGCAGAAAAUCACUGCAAGUGUUGGUGUCUUCAAAUUUCAUACACAUUCAGAACAAAAUAUAGUUUCCAUAUUUUUAAUAGAAAUGUACAGAAAAAUAAGGAACUGACUGAACUAUAUAUGCCAUUACUAUCUUAUUUCUGUCUAUGUAUCUAUCUAUAUUUUCUAGUUAGUUUUACAAUACUUUAAUAUCAUGUGGUAACUUAAUUAAGGGAACAAGAAAGAAGCCUUAGCUUUAAAUCUCUUUACUAUUGACAAAGUCAGCUUCAAGCUCCAAGUGCUUUUUUUUCCUCCUGCUUAUCUGUCUGUGUAUUUCU